UCUUCUUCUUCUCUCUCUCUCUUUUUCUCUAAAGGGGACAGAAAUAUAGUUGGUUAUUAUCUUAAGUUAUUGCUACAAAGAAUUUUGAAAUUAAAAGAUAAGCACGCCGAGGAAGCUCAGUAAUUUUCAUAAAAAAGGACUUAAAACAGAUGUGCCCUCUUUAAUCGGAGUGGGCUGGGGGGCGGGGGGAGGAGGAUGCAUUUUUAGCAUAGCAGGAGAAAAAAAUCAUAUGGUUUCACAUUUGUCUCCUGAACAUUUUGUGAGUGAGUGAGUGUGUGUGUGUGUGUGUGUGUGUGUGUGUGUGUGUGUGUGUGUGUAUUGUUAGAAUGUGGCUUUAUUAACUGUGGCACAACUGGUAACAGAGGUUGCUUUUAUCUGCCCUGAAUAUGGGGCUGAUGUGUGUGUUAGCAAGCCUCUUGCUCCCCAGAAAGUAUCAUUUCCUUGUUGCCUUUGAGUCCAUUGGGAAGCAAUGCCUUUAUGCAACGCAAAUCAAGGUCAGGUCAGAUCUACAAGUGAAGCCCCAAUGUUUGCCCCUGUAUCUGGCCUUAGCUUUUCUGUCCCUCCUUCCCAUUGCCUUGAAACUUCUCAUUCUCUCGAACUGGCUCUAUUUUAGGGUGCAGAAAUUAAAUUCACUUUUCCAUGAGUCAUUUUUAUUUUUGCUGCUUAUCGUAACUUGAAUCAUUCCGCAUUUGGGUAAAUUAGCUCAUCAGAAUGACUACAAUUUCGUUUGAGUUCUUUCUAAUUCUGUCAUCCUUCUUUUAAGUCAUUUGGGAGAUGGGAUGUAUUGCCUAUAUGGUUGUUGAUAAUGAUGCUGGGGGAAACAAAAAAAAUCAUUUAAGAUUUUCUUUCUUUCUUUCUUUCUUUCUUUCUUUCUUUCUUUCUUUCUUUCUUUCUUUCUUUCUUUCUUUCUUUCUUUCUUUCUUUCUUUCUUUCUUUCUUUCUUUCUUUCUUUCUUUCUUUCUUUCUUUCUUUCUUUCUUUCUUUCUCUCUUUCUCUCUCUCUUUCUCUCUCUCCUUCUCUCUCUCCUUCUCUCUCUCUUUCUCUCUCUCUUUCUUUCUUUCUUUCUUUCUUUCUUUCUUUCUUUCUUUCUUUCUUUCUUUCUUUCUUUCUUUCUUUCUUUCUUUCUUUCUUUCUUUCUUUCUUUCUUUCUUUCUUUCUUUCUUUCUUUCUCUCUCUCUCUCUUUCUUUCUCUUUCUUUCUCUCUCUCUUUCUCUCUCUCUCUUUCUCUCUCUCUUUCUUUCUCUCCCUUCUUUCUUUCUUUCUUUCUUUCUUUCUUUCUUUCUUUCUUUCUUUCUUUCUUUCUUUCUUUCUUUCUUUCUUUCUUUCUUUCUUUCUUUCUUUCUUUCUUUCUUUCUUUCUUUCUUUCUUUCUUUCUUUCUUUCUUUCUUUCUUUCUUUCUUUCUUUCUUUCUUUCUUUCUUUCUUUCUUUCUUUCUUUCUUUCUUUCUUUCUUUCUUUCCUCCCCUCCUUCCUUCUCUGUCUCUGAGUCUCUGUCUCUGUGUUUGUCUGUGUGUCUGUCUCUUCCAGUUAAUGUUCCUCAUGACUGAUAUGGGGCAGCUAUAGAAUCUUUGGUUUUUGUUUCCUCAGUGAAGAGUAUUCUUUAGAGCUUUGUUCUCUCAGAGUCCUGUCUUCCCAGUAGUUGCUGUUUCUAAAGUGCUUUACUGGAUUC
ensembl:lncRNA